rnacentral:lncRNA from 1 species
AUUUUAUACAGAUUCCUACAAAUAUAAUAAAUUGUAAAUAUAUUCCUAUAAAAUUCAACUUUCAUAUGUUGUCCCUUACAAAAGUUAUAAUAUUUUAAAUAUGUUCAUCUGAUUUGUUAUCGUUAAAAUACUAUUUAUUUUAUAAGUGAAAUGGUUCUUUUGAAAUUACAAAUAUGUCCCUCUAAAAGUUCCAACUAUUAAUUAAAGAAAGGUAAAAAUGUUAAUUAAAGAAAGGUAAAAAUGUCAAUUCACUUUAUUAAGUAACUAAGGUUAAGUAUUUUAUCUAUAAUUAACUAAUUUUUUCUAACGGAUCCUAACAGCAAAAAUAUAUUCAAAAAUAUUAGGACUUUUAUAGGGACAAUAUAUAAAAGUAGAAAUUUAUAAGGAUAUAUUUAUAAUUUAUUAUGUUUAUAAGGACCUGUAUGAAAUUAACCCUUCUUUUAUUUAUCAGAGAGUUCAAAAUAUUGAUGUUGAUGCAGGUAUAUAUAGUAUUUAGGGCAUAAUGUGGGCUGUUGCAUGACCACUCCCAUAUUAUUCUAUGUUAAAAAAUAGAAUUAAUUACAUACAAUUUUCUAUAAACAUAUUGAAUAAUAGAUGCAUUUUUCUACAAAAUUAUUUUUAUAAAUGUUCUACCGUUUUCAAAUAUACUCCUUCUAUUAGGAUCCGUUAAAAAAUAUAGUUAAAUAUAAGUAAAAUACUUAAUACUGAUUAGUAAAUGAUUAAAUUGAUCUUUUUACCUCUCUUAUAUAAUUGGGUAAAAUGUUUUUUUACGAGGAUAUUGCUACAUAAUUCUAAUAGUCGGGGCUUUUGGAGAGAUAUAUUUAUAAGAACAAAAAUAUAAUUUUACUUAUUUACUGUUGAGAAAUAAACAAUGAUCUAACAGUAACAAACCAGAUAGACAAAUAUGAAUGUCACUGAGCUUUUGUAAAAAUAAAAAUGAAAAGUUAAAUUUUACAUAAAUAUAUUUGCUAUUCAGUAUAUCUAUAUAGUAUAUAUAAUUAACGGUUCGUUCACAUCAUAAAGGUGGCUUCUCAAGGAGCCACAACUCCAUUAUAGCCCCUAGCCAAUAAGAACAUGCUAUGCACUCGAUAGAAAUUUUCGACUCGCAUAGACUAGAUAUAAAAUAUGAAUAAAAAAUAAAUUUCUAUAAUAUAAUAAAUUAUUAAAAUAUUUUAUAUUUUAUAUUAUAUUAUACUAUAUUAUAUUAUAUUUUAUAUUACUAACUAUUAGGUAUUUUAUCAANUAUAUAUAUAUAUAUAUAUAUAUAUAUAUAUAUAUUUUGAGAGAAAGGUAGCAUGCCACCCGCUUCGUUUAUUUCAUUUAGAAAUAAACUUAGCUGGAAAUGUGAAUCAACUAGGAUUCGAACUUGGGUCUCGGGUAUCAACCACUAAGCCCUUUUGCCAUUUGCGCUAGGAACGGUCGGUCAUCUAAUAUAGUUAUGAUGUAUGAAAUAUUAGUAUAUAUUAGGUGCAAGCAAAAAUU